rnacentral:rRNA from 1 species
UACGUAGGGUGCAAGCGUUAAUCGGAAUUACUGGGCGUAAAGCGUGCGCAGGCGGCUUUGUAAGUUAGAGGUGAAAGCCCGGGGCUCAACUCCGGAAUUGCCUUUAAGACUGCAUCGUCAUUGAACGUCGGAGAGGUGAGUGGAAUUCCGAGUGUAGAGGUGAAAUUCGUAGAUAUUCGCAAGAACACCAGUGGCGAAGGCGGCUCACUGGCCCGGUACUGACGCUGAGGUGCGAAAGCGUGGGGAGCAAACAGG